CAGUGAUUAUGAUUCUUCCAUCUUAGACAGCAGGAGUAGUAGAAAACAGGCUCAUGGAUUCCCAAGCUCCAGGACUCAGCAGGAUUCCAUGUUCCUGAGUUGGUGGAAAAACAGAAUGGUACUGUAUACCCAAUGGGAACAACAGAUUACCAGGCUCCCUGUGUCUGAAGAAUCAUCUUCUGCCUGAAAGUAUCUUCCCACCUCCUCAAUUUCUCCUCAGGUUCUUUCCUCCUGCUGGAAG
rnacentral:lncRNA from 1 species